rnacentral:rRNA from 1 species
AUCAGUGUGUGUGUUAGUGGAAGCGUCUGGAAAGGCGCGCGAUACAGGGUGACAGCCCCGUACACAAAAAUGCACAUACUGUGAGCUCGAUGAGUAGGGCGGGACACGUGGUAUCCUGUCUGAAUAUGGGGGGACCAUCCUCCAAGGCUAAAUACUCCUGACUGACCGAUAGUGAACCAGUACCGUGAGGGAAAGGCGAAAAGAACCCCGGCGAGGGGAGUGAAAAAGAACCUGAAACCGUGUACGUACAAGCAGUGGGAGCACGCUUAGGCGUGUGACUGCGUACCUUUUGUAUAAUGGGUCAGCGACUUAUAUUCUGUAGCAAGGUUAACCGAAUAGGGGAGCCGAAGGGAAACCGAGUCUUAACUGGGCGUUAAGUUGCAGGGUAUAGACCCGAAACCCGGUGAUCUAGCCAUGGGCAGGUUGAAGGUUGGGUAACACUAACUGGAGGACCGAACCGACUAAUGUUGAAAAAUUAGCGGAUGACUUGUGGCUGGGGGUGAAAGGCCAAUCAAACCGGGAGAUAGCUGGUUCUCCCCGAAAGCUAUUUAGGUAGCGCCUCGUGAAUUCAUCUCCGGGGGUAGAGCACUGUUUCGGCAAGGGGGUCAUCCCGACUUACCAACCCGAUGCAAACUGCGAAUACCGGAGAAUGUUAUCACGGGAGACACACGGCGGGUGCUAACGUCCGUCGUGAAGAGGGAAACAACCCAGACCGCCAGCUAAGGUCCCAAAGUCAUGGUUAAGUGGGAAACGAUGUGGGAAGGCCCAGACAGCCAGGAUGUUGGCUUAGAAGCAGCCAUCAUUUAAAGAAAGCGUAAUAGCUCACUGGUCGAGUCGGCCUGCGCGGAAGAUGUAACGGGGCUAAACCAUGCACCGAAGCUGCGGCAGCGACGCUUAUGCGUUGUUGGGUAGGGGAGCGUUCUGUAAGCCUGCGAAGGUGUGCUGUGAGGCAUGCUGGAGGUAUCAGAAGUGCGAAUGCUGACAUAAGUAACGAUAAAGCGGGUGAAAAGCCCGCUCGCCGGAAGACCAAGGGUUCCUGUCCAACGUUAAUCGGGGCAGGGUGAGUCGACCCCUAAGGCGAGGCCGAAAGGCGUAGUCGAUGGGAAACAGGUUAAUAUUCCUGUACUUGGUGUUACUGCGAAGGGGGGACGGAGAAGGCUAUGUUGGCCGGGCGACGGUUGUCCCGGUUUAAGCGUGUAGGCUGGUUUUCCAGG